rnacentral:ncRNA from 20 species
CUUACCCAGGUCUGUGGUUGCGGGCGCCAGCGCCCUAGUCCAUGGCAGACGAGGCCAAAGGGAUCCACGUAAGUCCGGGCGUGCGCGUCCGGGCGAGCAUGGCUCGUCCUAGAGGUAAGUCGCACCGCCCGUCAUACUCAGAGGCAUACGGCCUCGCGGGCGAGAGGGCCUCCAGUCAGGGCCGCCGCGGCGGUCACGGCAAAAGCCCCAGUGCGCGAGUGUGGGGUCAAAUACCAGGUCAGCUGGGUAAG